rnacentral:rRNA from 1 species
GACGAAUGCUGGUGGCGUGCUUAACACAUGCAAGUCGAACGGGAUUUAGUAAACAGAAGCCUCGGUGGAAGAUUACUAAUGAGAGUGGCGAACGGGUGAGUAACGCGUGAGCAACCUGCCUAUGACAGUGGGAUAGCCUCGGGAAACCGGGAUUAAUACCGCAUAAAAUCGUAGAAACACAUGUUUUAACGGUCAAAGAUUUAUCGGUCAUAGAUGGGCUCGCGUCUGAUUAGCUAGUUGGUGAGAUAACAGCCCACCAAGGCGACGAUCAGUAGCCGGUCUGAGAGGAUGAACGGCCACAUUGGAACUGAGACACGGUCCAAACUCCUACGGGAGGCAGCAGUGGGGAAUAUUGCACAAUGGGGGAAACCCUGAUGCAGCGACGCCGCGUGAACGAAGAAGGUAUUCGUAUCGUAAAGUUCUGUCCUAUGGGAAGAUAAUGACAGUACCAUAGAAGAAAGCUCCGGCUAAAUACGUG